UUGUAUAUAUAGAAUAUAUGUUUGAUCUGUAAUCUUGGUGAUUAGGAUUAGAUGUUUACUUAGAUAUGUAUACAUCCCUUAAUUAGUGGGAUUUCAGUUAUUGUAAUUGUAUAUAAUCAAAAUUAGGGUAAAACCCUAAUGUUGGUCUUGGUGGCCAUCUUUGUGACCUCGUUCUCUUAGUGAGAACAUUCUUUCUUAGUGAAAGCAUCUUUGUGAUUAUCUUUAUUCUUUGUUCUUUUCUUGUUCUUCAUUAUUCACUUGAGUGUAUCCGAUCGUUACAAACCAUCAAUUGGUAUCAGAGUGGGUUUUUUAUACAAUCAAGAUUCAAAAGUUCAAGGUUUCUUCAGAAACUCGAAAAACUAGAAGAAGAAGAAGAAGAAGAAGAAGAUGAUGAUGAUGAUGAAAAGAGUUCAUACAUGUUUAAACAUUUGAAGCUAAUAUCUCUUUAUCUUAUCAGAAAUUUUCGAUAGUAAGGUUAUAAAUUUCAAUCUAAGAUCUAUUGAAGAUUUAAAAGUUCAAACCCUAUUCAGAACCUCGAAAAUCAAAAGGAAAAGAAGAAGAAGAGCUCAAUCAGAAGAUAUAGGUUUCAAAAGGUACAUCUACUGAUUCUGAAUAGAAGCCUUCAAGUGAAAUUGGAAAAAUUCAUUGGAAACAAAAAUCUCCAGAAAAGGAAGAGAAGUGUUCUGAAACUCCAAGCUAGAUGUUCUAAUCAGAUCCGAAAUAUUCAGAUGCGAGGUAUGGUCCAAAACCCAGACUCAAAUGGGUUCCUAAGGUUGUUUCUUAAUUAUUUUAGGAUGUGAGAGAGUCUGAUUUUUAAAAUAAUCCACAUUAGUUGUGUUUCUCACCGAAGAAAGGUUGUGUCUAUGGUUUUGGUGCCCAUGUUAAAUGUUUUGUGCAAGUUUUGUUUUUGUUUAAUGUUUUCUCAUUAGAUUUGACAUUUCUUUUGGUCAAGGUUUUGCUUGUAUGUAUUAUUAUGUGAAGUCUUUGUCAAAGAACAGGUUUUGCAUUUUUCAAGUGGCUUUAGUCAAAUAAGAUGUGCAAAAGUAAGAAGGAAGAUUGAAGCUGAUGAGACUCUCUCGCUGAUGUGCUUUAUGCUUGGGUUUUCACGCUGAUAUAGAUUCUCGCUGAUCCUCCAUUUAAAGCCUCUCAAGCUAAUGCUCCAAGAAUUCUCAUGUUGGUAUACUUCAUUUGAGGUCAUUGUAUUUCGUCUUGUGUUGGUGCACUCAUUUAUUGAUUGGUCUUUCACUGAACCAAUGAAAAGAAAUGCUUGCAAAGUGACAAAAAUAGUAUGAUUUUCAUGCUGAUGCGCAUGAUGAUUAAUCUCACACGCUGUUGACAACAGAAAAAGAUGUACAGGGGCAGUUUGAUCAAGCAAGUUUCAAAGUAGUCAUUAAUGUGGAAACAUGGUGAUCAGUUGGUCAAGUUUUCUGAAAAAGGUUAGCUUGGUCAGGUAUUCGUGACAAGAAAGUGGCAACUCCAAUGUUCGUGGAAUCAGCAAAAGCAUGCACAGGGUAUUUUGGUCAGAGCAUCAUUACAAGUUGUAUAUGGUGAUCUGCAUAAAUGUAUCUCUCUUUCACGUGAUGUUUUAUAGAAGAAUAUUAGCCACGAUUAACUAUUUUAAUAUAAUUGAUAUUGGUAGUUCA